rnacentral:rRNA from 1 species
UACGUAGGGCGCAAGCGUUGUCCGGAAUUAUUGGGCGUAAAGAGCUCGUAGGUGGCUUGUCACGUCGGUUGUGAAAGCCCGGGGCUUAACCCCGGGUCUGCAGUCGAUACGGGCUAGCUAGAGUGUGGUAGGGGAGAUCGGAAUUCCUGGUGUAGCGGUGAAAUGCGCAGAUAUCAGGAGGAACACCGGUGGCGAAGGCGGAUCUCUGGGCCAUUACUGACGCUGAGGAGCGAAAGCGUGGGGAGCGAACAGG